AGAAAUGUAGAAAUUUUUGCAAAUUCAUUAAAAAAGAAAAACUGAAAUAUCACAUGGUCAGAAGUAUUCAGAGCCUUUGCAGCGACAUUCAUAUUUAACUCACAUGCUGUCCAUUUCUUCUGAUCCUCCUCGAGAUGGUUCUGCUUCUUUUUACCGUUUAAUUCCGUUACUGUGACUGACUUGUGCUCACAUGUUCUGACUAAUUAGCCGCCGGUCUGUCAGCUGCAGCUAAAUGCAUCCACUGAGCUGCAGAUGGAGUCUGCAGUUGGGUGUGAAGGACCAUUAGCUGCUCCGUUUUCUGGACUAAUUAUGACUUUGUUUGUUUGUUGUGCUCAGAUGAUGCACGGCUUAAUCACCGUCCGUUAAACGAGCCGUUCUGCUGCAGCGUUCAGUCUGAAGCGGAGCUGCAGGAAGGAGGCGACGGCACCAACGCUGAUCCCAGAGCAGCUCCAUCCCUGCAGCACUCUGUGGCCUCAGGCUCCCCGAACACAUUUAUUCUGCCAAGAUCCACACAGACGGGAAGACAAACACUGUUUAUUCCUGCUGCAGCACGUUCCCGGCUACCAGUCAGCAGGAAUAACAGCAGAGGUUCUCCACGUUCUGAGGCUUUAAAAUCCGUGUUGACUUCAGGGUCCAUUUUACAGCACGAGGCCUGGAUGGGAACCGACACGACGUCCAAGAAAUGUGGAGAUAAACCGUAAACCUGACGCCUCCGAGGAGAACACUGAGUCUUAAGCCGAUUCAACGCUGGGUUAGACAUGAUUUUAACUCAUCUAAGACGUUCCUGAUGUCUGGGAUGUUAGAACUAGCUGUUAAAUGUUAAAACUGUGUCAUAUGAUUAACCUUUUAGACUGAAGUUCUCGGAACUAUCCACCACAAAUCUCUAGAACAAAGAUCUGGUUCUCCACAAACUCAACAAACUUAGACCCUUACUGAUGCUAACACUGUUUAAAUGGACCAACAUCCAGCUAGAACCCUCAGAUUAACGAUGUUUCAGAUGUUUAUAGAUGUUCUUCUGAACUACAAAGAUCUUUAAAUGUGGUUCCACCUGGUCUAAGAGACGUUCCUGAUGUUAAAUGCUAAGGCAACCUUUUAGACUGAAGUUCGAGUAACUAUCCACCACAAAUCUCUAGAAGGAAGCUCUGGUUCUCCACAGAUUGAGACCCUCACUGCUGCUGACACUGUUUAAAUGGACCAACAUUCAGCUAGAACCCUCACAGGAACUGGUCAGCCUACGUAUCCGGAUCUCACCUGGGAGCAGAAACAACAAAACGUGACCAGAUUCUGUAAAACAAACCGCCUGGAUGGGAUUCUCCUCAGAGGAAGCCCAAAGAUUGUUUAUCACAAACAUCUGCUGGAUCCUUGUUCUGAUGGAAACACUGCAGAUCAACACGGAGUAUACCUGUUGGGAGAUGGAGUCACAGGGUCCACCGAGGAUUCGAAAGGGAGAGGCUGGAUAAGAAAGAGCUGAAAGAGGAGAAAGAUGCGAAAUGACGAAUCUGUAUCCUAAUUGGAGCUGAAGCUGUUUUUCCGUCACGCUCGGUUCUCUGGUCUUCCUGUUGUGUCUUCAUCCAGAAGCAGCAGAUGAAGAGAGAAUCUUCGGACAUGAACCGUCCUCAGUCAGGUCAAACAUCAACAUCUUCCUGGUUUUAGCUCAUUUUAAUUGACCUUCUGUCGGUUUUGUUCUUGAUUUCUGGUCGUUUUCUUCAUGUUUAAUGAAAAAUGAAACAAUUUGCUGCAACUUUUUGCAACUUUUGUCAACUUCUGGAUGUGGAAUCUUCACUUCCUGUUUUCUGUCAUUUUGCAGCUUUCUUUAGUUUUCAUGGUUUUUUUCGUUGUUUUCAGGUUUUUUAGGGAUUUUUUGUUGGUUUCAGAGGAUUUUAUUUUGAUUUUGGGGUUGUUGUGAUUUUCAGGUAUUUUUUGUAAUUUUCAGGCUGUGUUCUGUAUUUUUCAGGGGUUUUGUUGUCAGAAGUUGUUUCAGAAACUCUGCGUCUUCCUGGUUUUAGCUCAUUAUGUAUGCUUCUGUUGGUUUUGUUCCUGAUUUCUUAUUUUUUCUUAAUGUUUCAUGAAAAACUUUACAAUUCUCUCCAACCUUUUGACUCUGUUGAAGCUUAAAUCUUUUGAUUCGUCUAAACUGCUCUAAAACUUUUCCACCUUCUGUUGACCUCUGGAUGCGGCAGCAGUGUUUAGUCGGUUUCACUUUCCCAGUGUUUUUGUUUUCAGUAAUUUGUGAGUUUGUUUAGUGCAGAAACGUUUGUGUUGUGGCUGAAUAUAGCUGGAAAUGGAGUUUAAAUUGGAGCUGCUCAGAGAGAAAUCUCCUUUUGUUUCCACACAUUUGUAUUCAGCACUAGUUGGGUCUAACGUCCUCCAUAAUCACCGUGAUAUACGCUCUCAUUUAAGUUGCAUUAAGAUAAUUAAACAGAUUUCCCCGCAGAACUAAUUAGAGGAGCAGUGACAUUAUGUGACGCGUUCAAGGACAUUGUUGGCCGAGAGAUUUCGCUGUUUUGUUCAGGUUUGGUGUCGACGAAUCUCUGCUCUGGACGACGGAAAUCUAAAUAAAAAAUCUGAAAGCAACUGCAGCAGCAAAUACAGAUGAACAGAAAACUUAAUAAAUGAAUGCCGAAGCUUCCACACACUCUUCUGAUAUAUAAACUAUAAAUGAACAUUUCUGCAGUAGAUGAAAAAUUAAAAUAAAUAAGAAACACUAAAGUACUGCUAAUGUUUGUUCUGAAUGUAGAAGGAUACUGAUAAUGACUGGAUAUAGUCUUGUUUUGCAGGGAAAAAAAGUCUUUUUAAAUGUAUACAAUAUCCGUAAUUCAAGUUUGAAUGCAUUAAUGAAUCUUGAGUACAGUUGAGGCCCAGAUGGCAGGAGCUUCAGUCACUGAAACCAAGCAGCUGGAUUCAAAUGUGAUGGAAAGAUUUCAGUAAAACAGUGUUGGAAAUGAUGUUUAACAGCUCACAUUUGAGGAUGUUGUCUUUUUGUGGUGGUUUUAUAUAUUUUUGCCUGAAUUUUGUGAAGUUUUGUGGUGGUUUUUUGUCUUAAUCCUAAUUUUCGGUCUUUUUGUGGUCAUUUAGUGUCUUAUUGUG